GUGAGUUUGGUGUUAAAAGCAUGAAAAAUUUUCUUUUUUUUGGAGAUCUUAUAAGAGAUUAACUUAUU
rnacentral:tRNA from 1 species